AACGCUUGCUUAACAUCACGGGCAAGACGAUGUGAAAGACACUUUCAGAAAGGCGGGAAAAGCAUCUGCCAGAACAUCCAUAAAAAAUGUGGCGACAGUUUCCUGGACCCUCCCGUCAUCCCGGUGCCUUAAACUAUACAUACGUAAUGCUGUCUGUCUGUUACACAGAUGCACUGAACAUCAUCUGUUUGUGUUUCAGAGGCUGCAAACAUCAGAGAAGAAGAGCAGAAGCACACUUAAAGUGGCUCUGACGUCUGUAACUGAGACAGAUGACCUGCCCACUAUUGAUUCAGACAGUGAGAUAGAGGAAGAGAAGUCAGCUUUAAAAGAGCACAUCGACUUUCUAAAUCCUGUCGCUUCACCAACCAAGAUUUCAGACUACUCCUCUUAUGAUGAUAAUGAUGACGAUCCCGAAGAAAGCAGAGCAGACUCUUCCUUUCUGGACGCAGCUGAGACCAGCAGGCAGUCGGUCAGCGAGCGGGUCCGAUCUGCUCAGGCGAUUCUUCAGACACGUCAGAAACAAUUCCCUAAGAGCAUCAAGACCCCAGAGGACUCUCUCAAGAGGAGGAGGUUUGAAAGGUAUGAUCUAUGGUACUUGGAUCUUAAUCUUCAUUUCAGUGCAACCCUGUGCAAGAUGAACUCAAUUUAUGAGUUCAGUGACUGGCUUUAUGAUUGGGAUUUAUCGUCUUAA
ensembl:lncRNA